UCUCGAUAGCGUACAAGUUAACUCAGUUUUGUAUGGAAUUGGAACGUUUGUCUACUUUUGUCACUAGGGGCGCUGUUACUACUGCAUACAAAUUUGAGUUAACUUUUACGCUAUCGA
rnacentral:pre_miRNA from 9 species